rnacentral:rRNA from 1 species
GACGAACGCUGGCGGCGUGCUUAACACAUGCAAGUCGAACGGAAAGGCCCUGCUUUCGUGGGGUGCUCGAGUGGCGGACGGGUGCGUAACACGUGAGUAACGUGCCCUUGACUUUGGGAUAACUUCAGGAAACUGGGGCUAAUACCGGAUAGGAGCUCCUGCUGCAUGGUGGGGGUUGGAAAGUUUAGGCGGUUGGGGAUGGAUUCGCGGCUUACCAGUUUGUUGGUGGGGUAGUGGCUUACCAAGGCUUUGACGGGUAGCCGGCCUGGGAGGGUGACCGGCCACAUUGGGACUGAGAGACGGCCCAGACUCCUACGGGAGGCAGCAGUGGGGAAUAUUGCACAAUGGGCGGAAGCCUGAUGCAGCAACGCCGCGUGCGGGAUGACGGCCUUCGGGUUGUAAACCGCUUUCGCCUGUGACGAAGCGUGAGUGACGGUAAUGAGUAAAGAAGCACCGGCUAACUACGUG